GACGUAGGUGGCGAGCGUUGUUCGGAAUCACUGGGCAUAAAGGGCGCGUAGGCGGGUCUUCAAGUUUGGGGUGAAAUCCUCCGGCUCAACCGGAGAACUGCCUCGAAUACUGAAGGUCUCGAGGGGGAUAGGGGCAUGCGGAACUACGGGUGGAGCGGUGAAAUGCGUUGAUAUCCGUAGGAACUCCGGUGGCGAAGGCGGCGUGCUGGAUCCCUUCUGGCGCUGAGGCGCGAAAGCCAGGGGAGCAAACGGG
rnacentral:rRNA from 1 species